rnacentral:rRNA from 1 species
UACGUAGGGUGCGAGCGUUAAUCGGAAUUACUGGGCGUAAAGUGUGCGCAGGCGGCAGAGCAAGUCGAGUGUGAAAGCCCCCGGCUCAACUGGGGAGGGUCACGCGAUACUGGUCGACUCGAAGGCAGGAGAGGGUAGUGGAAUUCCCGGUGUAGUGGUGAAAUGCGUAGAUAUCAGGAGGAACACCGGUGGCGAAGGCGGGUCUCUGGGCAGUAACUGACGCUGAGGAGCGAAAGCGUGGGGAGCGAACAGG